rnacentral:misc_RNA from 1 species
AUUUCACUCUCUCUCUGUAAUUUUAGAGAGAGAAAUUUCUCUCUCUUCUCUCUGUUUCGUGUUGUUUGCCUCUCUCAAAUUCAAUGAGCCUUUUUUACUCUAGCAGGCUUUCCCUACUUCCAAGCAGGGGAAGACUUUGUUCUCUAGCUUAGAUUGUGAUUAGCCCUUCCCAUCUGAGUUGUGUUGUGUGUAUAUGAGUUUUGGUUUGUGUUUGUCUUAAAGGUCUGGAGGAAAAUAGAGAAGGUAUCUUUGAAGACAUAUGUUUGGGUUUCCUUUUGGUUAUAAUUGAGUCUAGGAGGUCAUCGAUGUGCGAUGGCUUCUAUCUCCAUGGAGGAAUCCUUAUUGUUACAGUGGUGGGUAUCUCAAAUUGCCCUUGAGUCAACCUCCUUUGUGGCAGCCGAUCCUCCAGGCUAUACAAGAUUGAGAGCUUUCUUGUUGCCAGCAAUGCUUCUGUUUCUCUUCUUUCCCAAUUACCAAACUAAAUCUAGCUCUAGGAGGUCUGGCAGCGCCACAAGGGAUUUGGUUGAUGGUUGUUCUCGUCUGCUAAGGCAACUGUUUAAUGGAUUGGAGUUUUUCUGUGAUGAGUUGGUUUUUUGGGCCCCCAAGCCUUUCUCUAGUGUGUUGAAUUUAAUGUAUUGUCGGGCCAUGUAAUGCAACAGUUACA